rnacentral:SRP_RNA from 1 species
GCUGGGCGUGGUGGCUCAUGCCUGUAAUCCCAGCACUUUGGGAGGCCGAGGCGGGUGGAUCACCUGAGGUCAGGAGUUCUAGACCAGCCUGGCCAACAUGGUGAAAACCCGUGUCUA